rnacentral:rRNA from 1 species
CCUACGGGUGGCUGCAGUGAGGAAUAUUGGUCAAUGGCCGGAAGGCUGAACCAGCCAAGCCGCGUGAAGGACGACGGCGCUAAGAGUUGUAAACUUCUUUUGUCCAGGGACAAAAUCAGACACGCGUGUCUGACUGAGAGUACCGGAAGAAAAAGCAUCGGCUAACUCCGUGCCAGCAGCCGCGGUAAUACGGAGGAUGCGAGCGUUAUCCGGAUUUAUUGGGUUUAAAGGGUGGGUAGGCGGACGGUAAAGUCAGCGGUAAAAGCCCGGGGCUCAACCCCGGAGUGCCGUUGAAACUGGCUGGCUUGAGAGGACGAGCGGUAGGCGGAAUGCGUGGUGUAGCGGUGAAAUGCUUAGAUAUCACGCAGAACUCCGAUUGCGAAGGCAGCAUACCGGCGGACAUCUGACGCUGAGGCACGAAAGCGUGGGGAUCGAACAGGAUUAGAUACCCGAGUAGUC